rnacentral:rRNA from 1 species
UGAGGAAUUUUGCGCAAUGGAGGAAACUCUGACGCAGCGACGCCUCGUGAACGAUGAAGUCUUUCGGGAUGUAAAGUUCUGUCAGUGGGGAAGAUAAUGACGGUACCCACAGAGGAAGCACCGGCUAACUACGUGCCAGCAGCCGCGGUAAUACGUAGGGUGCAAGCGUUAUCCGGAAUUAUUGGGCGUAAAGGGUGCGUAGGCGGUUGGAUAAGUCGGGUGUGAAAGCUACAGGCUCAACUUGUAGUUGCGCCCGAAACUAUUCGACUAGAGGAUGUGAGAGGAAAGCGGAACUCAUGGUGUAGCGGUGAAAUGCGUAGAUAUCAUGAGGAACACCAGUAGCGAAGGCGGCUUUCUGGCACAUAUCUGACGCUGAAGCACGAAAGCGUGGGGAGCAAACAGG